rnacentral:rRNA from 1 species
UCAGGCCUAACACAUGCAAGUCGAGCGGCAGCGGGAAAGUAGCUUGCUACUUUUGCCGGCGAGCGGCGGACGGGUGAGUAAUGCCUGGGGAUCUGCCCAGUCGAGGGGGAUAACUACUGGAAACGGUAGCUAAUACCGCAUACGCCCUACGGGGGAAAGCAGGGGACCUUCGGGCCUUGCGCGAUUGGAUGAACCCAGGUGGGAUUAGCUAGUUGGUGAGGUAAUGGCUCACCAAGGCGACGAUCCCUAGCUGGUCUGAGAGGAUGAUCAGCCACACUGGAACUGAGACACGGUCCAGACUCCUACGGGAGGCAGCAGUGGGGAAUAUUGCACAAUGGGGGAAACCCUGAUCCAUACGUGCCGCGUGUGUGAAGAAGGCCUUCGGGU